GUUUGAUUCUGGCUCAGAUUGAACGCUGGCGGGAUGCUUUACAUGCAAGUCGAACAGCAGCACGGACUUCCGGUCUGGUGGCGAGUGGUGAACGGGUGAGUAAUGUAUCGGAACGUGCCUGGUAGCGGGGGAUAACUGCACGCAGCGUAGCUAAUGCCGCAUACGCCCUUCGGGGGAAAGCGGGAGACCUUCGAGCCUCACUUACUAUUAGAGCGGCGAUAUCGGAUUGCUUAGUUGGUCAGGUAACGGCUCACCAAGGCGACGAUCAGCUGGUUUGACGACAACCACACUGGGACUGAGACACGGCCCAGACUCCUACGGGAGGCAGCAGUGGGGAAUUUUUGGACAAUGGGGAAACCUGAUCAGCCAUCCCACGUGUGCGAUGAGCCUUCCGGGUUGUAAAAGCACUUUUGGCAGGAAAACGGCGCGGGAUAAUACCCCGUGCAACUGACGGUGCCCCUGCAGAAUAAGCACCGGCUAACUACGUGCCAGCAGCGCGGUAAUACGUAGGGUGCAAGCGUUAAUCGGAAUUACUGGGCGUAAAGCGUGCGCAGGCGGUUCGGAAAGAAAGAUGUGAAAUCCCAGAGCUUAACACUUUGGAACUGCAUUUUUAACUACGAGCUAAGUGGCUGACCAGAAUUGGAAUUCCGCGUGUAGCAGUGAAAUGCGUAGAUAUGCGGAGGAACACCGAUGGCGAAGGCAGCCUCCUGGGGGAUACCACUGACGCUCAUGCACGAAAGCGUGAAGACAAACAGAAAGUUAGAUACCUGGUGAUCCGCCCUAAACGGUGUCAGCAACAUGUUGGGGCCUUCCGGGCCUUGGUGGCGCAGCUAACGCGUGAAGUUGACCGCCUGGGAAGUACGGUCGCAAGAUUAAAACUCAAAGGAAUUGACGGGGACCACCUGACGGUGGAUGAUGUGGAUUAAUUCGAUGCAACGCGAAAAACCUUGCCUACCCUUGACAUGUCCGGAAUCCCGAAGAAUUUGGGAGUGCUCGCAAGAGAACCGGAACACAGAGUGCUGCCUUGGCUGUCGUCAGCUCGUGUCAUUGAGAUGUUGGUUGAAGUCCCCCGCAACGAGCGCAACCCUUGUCAUUAGUUGCUACGAAGAGGCACUCUAAUGAGACUGCCGGUGACAAACCGGAGGAAGGUGGAGGAUGACGUCAGUCUCAUGGCCCUUAUAGGUAGGGCUUCACGUCAUGCAAUGGUCGGGACAGAGGUCACUUCAACCCGCGAGGAGCCAAUCCCAGAAACCCGAUCGUAAUUGGAUCGCAGUCCGCUCGACUGCGUGAAGUGGAAUCCUUCAAUAAUCGCGGAUCAGCAUGUCGCGGUGAAUACGUUCCCGGAAUCUUAUACACCAUAAUCACACCAUGGGUGAUUUUGCAGAAAUGGAUUGCUUCUUAAGCUAAGGAGGGCGAUUUUCACGGGCCGAGAUUCUGCCUGACUGGGAAUUGAAGUCGUAACAAGGUAA
rnacentral:rRNA from 1 species